UGCCUACGGGCGGCUGCAGUGGGGAAUCUUGGACAAUGGGCGAAAGCCUGAUCCAGCCAUGCCGCGUGGAUGAUGAAGGCCCUAGGGUUGUAAAAUCCUUUCGUUGGGGACGAUAAUGACGGUACCCAAAGAAGAAGCUCCGGCUAACUUCGUGCCAGCAGCCGCGGUAAUACGAAGGGGGCUAGCGUUGUUCGGAUUUACUGGGCGUAAAGCGCGUGUAGGCGGGUCGUUAAGUUGGGGGUGAAAUCCCGAGGCUCAACCUCGGAACUGCCUUCAAAACUGGCGACCUGGACUCAAGCAGAGGCAAGUGGAAUUGCGAGUGUAGAGGUGAAAUUCGUAGAUAUUCGCAGGAACACCAGUGGCGAAGGCGACUUGCUGGGCUUGUGGUGACGCUGAGACGCGAAAGCGUGGGGAGCAAACAGGAUUAGAUACCCGUGUAGUC
rnacentral:rRNA from 1 species